ACUGAGGUGGGCGACCACUUGGGAACACUGGGUGCUGUACGCUU
rnacentral:rRNA from 1 species